rnacentral:tRNA from 1 species
GAGGGUAUAGCUUAUUGGUAGAGUGCAUGCCUAGCUAUAUGAGGUCCUGGGUUCAAUCCCUAGUACCUCCA